CCCCUGCUUCUGUCUCCUUUUCUUGCACUUGGACUCUCUGCCGCUCUCCAGACAGACUCCUGGGGUGGGGUCCCUUUUUCUUUGCUCUGAGGGCCAGGUAUGUAUCUGAUCAACCCCCUGAGGGCCAAGUGGGCAGGGCCAAAGACAUCUCCCUUGAUAUUUAGGCGGGUAAUUUAUUAUUAUUAUUCUGUUAGAUAGCUUCACACACACACACAGCCAUUGAU